rnacentral:rRNA from 1 species
AUUGAACGCUGGCGGCAUACUUUACACAUGCAAGUCGAACGGUAACAGGUUAAGCUGACGAGUGGCGAACGGGUGAGUAAUGCAUCGGAACGUGCCCGAUCGUGGGGGAUAACGCAGCGAAAGCUGCGCUAAUACCGCAUACGAUCUGAGGAUGAAAGCGGGGGACCGUAAGGCCUCGCGCGAUCGGAGCGGCCGAUGUCAGAUUAGGUAGUUGGUGGGGUAAAGGCUCACCAAGCCAACGAUCUGUAGCUGGUCUGAGAGGACGACCAGCCACGCUGGAACUGAGACACGGCCCAGAGGCCUACGGGAGGCAGCAGUGGGGAAUUUUGGACAAUGGGCGAAAGCCUGAUCCAGCAAUGGCGCGUGCAGGAAGAAGGCCUUCGGGUUGUAAACUGCUUUUGUACGGAGCGAAAAGGUUCUCUCUAAUACAGAGGGCUCAUGACGGUACCGUAAGAAUAAGCACCGGCUAACUACGUGCCAGCCGCCGCCGUAACAC